AUUGAAGGAUUGGCUGCCACAGAUGAAGGAUCUUUACCUGAAGAUUCCUCCCUUUGGAUUACUUUGUUAGCCCUGAUUGCUAGGACAGGACCUGUAAAUUAAUCAUGUCCUGUGGACUUGUACGCCUUCAGGUUCUUUAGAUGGUCUUGAACCUGAUCUUCACUUACAGUAGGCUGAUCUGCCUUCUCCCAAUUAUUACCUUUGCUUUUUGUAGCUUGUAUGGUGUGGCUGGUAAAGACUGAGGCAAAGAAGUCAUUGAGCUUUCUCCAUAUCCCUGGUGACCAAGUCUCCUCUUUCCUUCUGGAGAGGGCCUGCAUCAUCCAAGGCCUUCAUUUUAUCACAGAAAUACCUGUAGAAUUACAGAGCUUUAUUUCAUGGUACUCUGCCAAGUAGUUUGAUGAAGAGUUCAAGGUCUGCUCUCCUGAAGCAUGGAGUAGCAAACUUGCUGCACACACUCUUUGAUGCCCUAAGGAUCUUAAACCCCACCAUUUUGUGGUCAGUGCAGCCAAGGUUGCCCUUUACUCCCCCAGCAGUCACCAGCCCCUUCUUGUUUGUUAGGACAAGGUUCAACAUAGCACCUCUUCUUGUGGGUUCCUGUACCACUUGGAAGAGGAAGAUAUAACCAGUGCUUUUCAGGAAUCUCUUUGGUUUCUGGUGCCCUGCUGUGUUGUCCCUCCAACAGAUAACAGAGUGGUUGAAGUCCCCAAUGAGGACCAUGUUAUGUGAAUGUGAAGCUGCUCCUAUGUGUUUAUAGAGGGCUUCAUCCACUUGGUCUUCCUGGUUGGCAGCCUGUAGCAGACUCUCACUGUGCUGUCUCUUUUCUAUGCCUUCCCUUAAUGCUAACCCAUAAGCUCUCUGUCAGCCUAUCAUCCAUCCCCAGAUGGAGCUCUAUGGACUCCAACUGGUGGCUGAUGUAGAGAGUACCACCCCCUUUCUUCUUCUCCACCUGUCUUUCAUAAAGAGUUUAUACCUGUCUAUUCCUACAUUCCAGGUGUGAGAGCCAUCUCACCAUGUCUCAGUUAUACCAAUGACAUCAUAGCCCUGUACGUACACAACACGCCUGUAACUCUUCUUGCUUGUUCCCCAUGCUCCAUGAUUAGUGUACUGGCAUUUGAAUUGGGCUCCCACUGAGGCUGAUUUACCAAUUGGAGUUUCCUUAUCCUGCACCUUAGGGAAGUUCUUACCAGCCUGUGAUCUAAAUCCAGGCCCAGGGCAUCCAUUACCACCGUCUCAAAGUGGGGUAGUUUGUUUGAGGAUCACCUCCAUGGCAACUUAAUGCACUCCUACAUAAUUUAUAAUUUAAAUUAAAUUAAGGUCUGCACUGCAAUUCAAUCUCAUCUAAAAAGAAAAGCAGUGUAUGCACUCUGAGAGUGUCCCGCAAUGCAAUGCAAACCAGUGUGUACUAACUGGAUACACCUCAGGCAUUGGCUUCACAAGCUCAAUUGUGAGCUGAAAUAGAAUGCUACUGUAGAUUUAACAUCUGACUCAAGUGCUGUGAGCUAGUAAGAAUUGUAUGAAUAGAAUAAGAUUUUUAUUCUUUUGUCUAUGGCUAGUAAAAUACAGCUAAAGAGUAUUGUUGCUUUUUUUCUAUUCCAAAUCAGUAACUGUGAUAUUCCUUGUAAAGGCUCUUGCUUCAUUUUUGAUAUUUCCAAAUGUAUUACAUACACAAGUUGCACAUCUUUUCCUACAUGUAAAAACUGGUAGUUUGUAAUUGCACUGAAGACUUUAUCAAAAUCAAAGCAAAUUCAUGACCAUCACAUGCAAUGAUAGGCUGUUAUGAGCACUGAGAGACUGCUUCUAUGGGCAGUAAAAAAGAGUUUUUUAAACACUCUUAUGCUGUAUCAUUUCCUGAAACAUUUAACUGUUCCAAUCACAAAGAAAUAUACUUCUUUGUAAAAUUGACAAGGUGAAAUUAAGCUGGAAAUGGCU
ensembl:lncRNA